AAAUUGGGGCUAGAGAUGUGGCUCAAGUGGUGAAGCUCUUGUUUUGUGAGUGUGACACUUUGUGUCCAAACCCCAGUACUGCCACAAGAAGGAAAAAAAAUCUGAGUAAGUCAUGGUACUGUAUUGAUUUUGAACUCAAAUCAUGUGAUAAAGGUCCAUCAGAACCUCCUGCAGUGCUGUCCUGCACACCUGGGGCUGGGCUCUGCUGACUUCUUAAGCCACAGAAUUUACAUAGGAAUAGUGGUUAUCAUUAUGCAGGUAUUUGUAAGAUCACAGUGAGUGUGUGUACAUAAACAAAUCUACCUCUAUUAGCAAAAAAUGAUGGUUUUUGAUUUUACAGACUAAAGUAGCUUCAUACAGAGAUUUUUAUUCCUUACAGGAAAAGGAGAUCAUUAAACAAAAAAAGUAGGUGUGUGUGAAUUAUCCAGCCAGAAUAAAAAGCUGUAAGAAUUUCUACUGACUAUAAAGAAACGUUGAAACAAAUGUCUCAGCUGGGAUUCAUUCAUGUCUUACUGUGUAACAACUUUCAGUUUUGAUAUUACCAAUCCUGUUUAUUUCACUGGGAAGGGUGAACAUUACAUUUUCUUAACAUUUGACUCAUCUAAUUUACAGACUAGCUCUGUUUUUCUUUCAUUAGAGGUUGGACAAUGACAUCAAAGCUUAAGAAUUAAAAAAGUUAAAAUUGUUAAAAACAAAGAGAAUAUACAACAGAGAAGUGACCCACAAAAUGGAAUAUUUAUACCUGCACCUUAUCAAAGGCUUCUGACCUCCAUCUUGCUUCAAAGAAUUAGGCAGAGACUUCUAGAAUUUAGCAAUAUUUAUGAGAAGAUCUGUAAUGAAAAUUUAUAUUGAUCUAACAAUAACUUUGACUUGGAUCCUAAGACUGUAGAAAACAACUAUAACUAUAAACUUUAAAUGUCAGGCAUUUCUAUGCUUCUAGGUACAUAAUAUUAAGUAAAUAUGAAGACAAUUGUUUGGAGGAAAGGAAUUGUAAAGAUGUUAUGCUGGGUGCUGGUGACUUAACACAUGUAACCCUAGUUGCGCAGGAGGCUGAGAUCUGAGGAUUGUCAUUCAAAACCAGCCUUGUCAGGAAAAUCCAUGAGACUCAUCUCCAGUUAAUCACCAAAAAGCCAGAAGUGGAAGCCACUUCAAGUGGUAGAGCACCAACCUUGUCAAAAAAAGUUAAGGGAGAGUGUCAGGGCCUCAAUUCAAGUGUCACUACUGGUACACACACACACACACAUGCACACACACACACACAUAAAAUAAAAUAAGAAAUGGCAUUGCAUUUCAGAGGUAUAAUUGUUUGGGAAAAUUAUCUGGGAAACAUCCUCAAUAUUUAUUUUUUUACUUCAUUUUAUGAAGCACAUGGAAAUGGGAUUCCACAGACUGAGACUAAUUCCAUAGACAAACGAGAAGUUGAGAAUAAUUUCAUAAGACUAUAUUUGACUAUUUUGCAUUUGAAGAGAAUGUAUAUAAGCAAUAAUGUACUUUGACACUUUAAUUAUGGAAUUUUAUCAGAUUUUCUUUUUGUGGGAACAACGGAAUGUCCUCAGAUUGUUAUAAAGUUUAAAAUGUAAAAUACUGCUGUUUUUAUUAAGUCUUAAAGGGAUGGAAUUUCAUUGUUUGUACAUUUCAAGUGUGGCUGUGGAAUAAAAUUUUUUAUGUUUCAUUUAAA